UUCCAACUGUUUAUGAUGUCAUUAUGCAUUCGCUAUAUCACUUACAAACAAAUAUGAGCAUUAACAGUAAUCUUCAUCUCAAGCACGAUGGAGAAUAUCCUACUGAAACAAAUUUACAAGGCUGAGUAAACACUCAUAAAGACUCUGUUCCUUUGCCAAAGGAAUGCACAAGUGUCCCCAAUCCAAUCAUAGACUGAAGUCACCGCCAAAGAAAUACAUUGACUGGAUUCAGUUUGCAUGUGCAAAAAUAUGCAAUGAAGUGAGCACAAGAAAAGGCUAAUGUUAAGUUCCUACUAUGACUAUUCUAACAGAUACAUAAUUCAUGUUUUAUAUAUGACAGAUUAGCUAAGCAUGGUCAGCUUCAAAAGCAAAAAAGAUGGACACUGAGCCAUAUGAACAUUUCAGAAUUUGUGCUUCAAGUUCAUACAGAGACCAAAACUAAAUCAACAAUGAAAGUUAUGAUAUGUUCUUCUACACAUCAAGACAAACCCGUAUGGGUAACCACAAAAUCACAUAACAUCACACAACAUACCUAAUCUAAUUGUCAAAAACUGAAUAAAUAUAUAAAUAAAUAAA